rnacentral:rRNA from 1 species
UGAACGCUGGCGGCGUGCCUAAUACAUGCAAGUCGAGCGAACAGACGAGGAGCUUGCUCCUCUGACGUUAGCGGCGGACGGGUGAGUAACACGUGGAUAACCUACCUAUAAGACUGGGAUAACUUCGGGAAACCGGAGCUAAUACCGGAUAAUAUAUUGAACCGCAUGGUUCAAUAGUGAAAGACGGUUUUGCUGUCACUUAUAGAUGGAUCCGCGCCGCAUUAGCUAGUUGGUAAGGUAACGGCUUACCAAGGCAACGAUGCGUAGCCGACCUGAGAGGGUGAUCGGCCACACUGGAACUGAGACACGGUCCAGACUCCUACGGGAGGCAGCAGUAGGGAAUCUUCCGCAAUGGGCGAAAGCUUGCCGGAGCAACGCCGCGUGAGUGAUGAAGGUCUUCGGAUCGUAAAACUCUGUUAUUAGGGAAGAACAAAUGUGUAAGUAACUAUGCACGUCUUGACGGUACCUAAUCAGAAAGCCACGGCUAACUACGUG